rnacentral:lncRNA from 1 species
AAUAUGUAUUUUCGUGAUGCAUAAUGAGUUAGAGAACCCCAAUAGCUUAUUUAUAGACUUUAGAAUCAAUCGGAGUCGGAUUAGAAAAUUUUCACGAUUUUACACUGUGUACCGGUACACUUUAAGCUGUCACCGGUUACGCGAUGACGGAAUGAAAAAACUGACGAAACAGUGAAACCGGUUACAUCUUCGAUGGCUGUAUCGGUACACAUUUUGUACCCGUACACUUCUGAUGCUGUACCGGUACACUUUGCAAAAUUUCACCGUUUCAGGUUUUGCAAAGUUCCGAUGCACUUUCUAAUCCAUUAAACAUUGAUAUUAUGAUUCUAAUGCCUACAACUAAGUAUGAAUCACCAUAAUAUGAAUUAACACUUUACCUGGGCAUCGUGAUUCACAUCGUGAGUUAUUUUCCAACUUCUUCGAAAUCUUGAAUUCUUCGAUCUUUGACGAUACGCACCAAUUCUUCAAGACUCCGACUCUUUUCACGAAACUUGCCAACACACAAUACGUAACAAUCUCCCCCUUUGGCAAUUUCGUGACAAAACACACAAAAACUCAAAAAUUACAUCGUAAAGAAAAAUUGAAGUUCAAUGUCAUCACCAAAAUAUCGAACCCCUCGCAUGUAGUCCAAAUACAAUUCGAAACUCAAAAAUACAUCAAAAACUCCUAAAAUAGACUCUAUGACUUAGACGCAACUAGGAGUCUUGAAGUCUUAAUUUCCUGCAAAACAGAGAGUAUCUUGGUAUCCAUGAUAAUGUAACAUUAGAUUCUUAUACCUUCUCCCCCUUUGUUCUCAAUCACCUCUCCCCCUUUGUUUUUUAAGUUCAUCCUCUUCAUCCUCUGCUUUGAUCAAUACCUGUUCUUCUUAUGAUCUCCCCCUUUUUGUCAAAAAAUUGCCAAAAAUAAAGCAUAGAGAGAACGAACACACUAAGAAGCAAAAGAGUAGUCAAGUUAUAGUUACAGGCCUAGAAGUAAAAACAUGCAAAAGAAAGAUAAGCAAACAAAGCUAAACUAAAACAUCGUCCUAAAAAGCAAACACAGUGAAGUAAAAAGACUAAGCUCGAGGAAGAAAUCACUCCGUGUCCUCGUCAUCAUCAUCAUCAUUUCCUGCGCCAGCUCUAGAUCCCCCAGCCUCAGGAGCAUCACCGGACGGUGGAAUGAGUGGAUGUCGUGAAGUCGAUCUGGUAUAAGUGGAGUAGGUAGGCUGAGUAGGAAAAAUAUCAUCAUGCCUACAUCCCAUUUUUUCCAUCAUUCUCUUCAUUCCCAUCUCCACCUUUUUAGCAAGAUCUGCCAAUUUCUUCUUCAAAGAGCGCACCUCAUGGUGAAGUGAUUCUAUAGUAAUCCUUCAGUUUGCUGAAAAGUCUUCAGUGUGCUUCUUGACUUGGCCCAGGUCACAGCAUCAAUCGGUCCAAGUCCAAUGUCAUACUUCUCACACUACACAUCAACUCCGUGUUCUUGAAGAAUCCUCGUGAUCAACAACGGAAACAGAAGUAGAUCACGUCGAACUUGAGACUGUAUGACAUGAGCCAUUCUUUGCCACAUCAGAAAAGGAAUAUUGACGUUCAACCCGUCUGCUUCCUCAGGAUGUCCAAGAAGAUAAAGAAGCACCAGACGAUCCCAACGAAUCCUUUUCGUUCCAAUUGUCGGUUGAACAUUGUAGCUCAUCACCAAUGAGAGUAGAUGAUACUCAGGUAGCAAAUCCUUAGAUUCCACAUAUGAAUGAUUCGUCCUCACACCUUCCUUGCAUAUAGCUCGAAUAACAGUCUCCUAGUGGGUCGAAGACUGAUAAAGCCCUGUCGUAUAGUGAAGGCCGGUAGUAUCAACAUGCAUACCUAAAUGCUCUCCAAUCGUGUAAGGAGUGACUUGAAUCUUCUGCUUACGCACAUAUGUCUCAAACACGUAAGUCCCAGUCUCCUCAUCCUCUGCUAGCACCAUCCCGUUCAUGUAGAACUCCCGAAUGAGUUCCACACAGAAUGGAGCACGAGCUGGAACCCGUCCAACGGGCUCAAUAGGGACCCUCUGCAGCAAUCGACCAAAAUCUGGUACCUCCUUGAUCAGCUUAGUAAAGUUGA